rnacentral:lncRNA from 1 species
AGUAUCGCAGCAAAAGGUGAAUCGAUUAUAUGUAUGAAGACAUAUAACCGUGAGUACAUUGCUUAAUUUCAAAAGAAAAUCAAAGUAUAUCAAUCAUCAAGACUUUAUCGUCAAAAUGGAAAUGCGAUAAAGUAAAUACAUCCUCUAACAAUUCCCCACCAGCACCAGUCCAAUCUCGCUCCUCGCUUAGUCUGCACAUUUAGAAAUACAUGCAGGGCGUGAGUACA